UCGGAAUUACUGGGCUUAAAGAGUUCGUAGGUGGUUGAAACAGUUGGUGGUGAAAUCCCAGAGCUUAACUCUGGAACUGCCAUCAAAACUUUUCAGCUAGAGUAUGAUAGAGGAAAGCAGAAUUUCUAGUGUAGAGGUGAAAUUGGUAGAUAUUAGAAAGAAUACCAAAUGCGAAGGCAGCUUUCUGGAUCAUUACUGACACUGAGGAACGAAAGCAUGGGUAGCGAAGAGGAUUAGAUACCCUCGUAGUCCAUGCCGUAAACGAUGUGUGUUAGACGUUGGAAAUUUAUUUUCAGUGUCGCAGCGAAAGCAAUAAACACACCGCCUGGGGAGUACGACCGCAAGGUUAAAACUCAAAUGAAUUGACGGGGACCCGCACAAGUAGUGGAGCAUGUGGUUUAAUUCGAAGAUACGCGCAGAACCUUACCAACACUUGACAUGUUCGUCGCGACUUUAAGAGAUUAAAGUUUUCGGUUCGGCCGGACGAAACACAGGUGCUGCAUGGCUGUCGUCAGCUCGUGUCGUGAGAUGUUGGGUUAAGUCCCGCAACGAGCGCAACCCUCACUUUUAGUUGCCAUCAUUAAGUUGGGCACUAUGAAAGAACUGCCAGUGAUAAGCUGGAGGAAGGUGGGGAUGACGUCAAGUCCUCAUGGCCCUUACGUGUUGGGCUACACACGUGCUACAAUGGUAUCUACAACAGGAAGCAAAACCGCGAGGUUAAGCAAAUCCUUAAAAGAUACCUCAGUUCGGAUUGCACUCUGCAACUCGA
rnacentral:rRNA from 1 species